CGACCACGCUCGCUCAACACACACACAGGCGCUCGAUGACAGACGGGGAGGGGGAAGCGGAGAGAAGUGUAAGCCCCGGAUCCAUCUUCAAGAGAGAAAAUAGGAAAGAGAGACCGCGUCCCACUUUUAUUUCGUUUUUAGCGGCAUCUUUCCGACUUACAGGCGUUAGGGAGCCCGAGGAGGGGGCUGUGUCAUUGUCUGUAGGAUGUCCCGACAUGAAGGUGUGAGCUGUGAUGCGUGUUUAAAAGGGAACUUCAGAGGGCGCCGAUACAAGUGUUUAAUUUGCUACGACUACGACCUUUGCGCGUCUUGCUACGAAAGCGGAGCCACAACAACUAGACACACCACGGAGCACCCGAUGCAGUGCAUACUAACCAGGGUAGAUUUUGAUUUGUAUUAUGGGGGAGAGGCGUUCUCAGUAGAGCAGCCUCAGUCGUUUACUUGUCCUUACUGUGGAAAAAUGGGCUACACGGAAACAUCUCUACAGGAGCACGUCACCUCAGAGCACGCAGAGACCUCUACAGAGGUGAUUUGCCCGAUCUGUGCAGCUUUGCCCGGUGGCGACCCCAAUCAUGUGACCGAUGACUUUGCGGCUCAUCUCACACUUGAACACAGAGCACCUAGAGAUUUAGAUGAGAGCAGCGGCGUGCGGCAUGUGCGUCGGAUGUUCCACCCCGGGCGGGGACUGGGUGGUCCGCGGGCACGCAGGACUAACAUGCACUUUACCAGCAGCUCUACCGGCGGGCUCUCCUCUUCACAAAGCUCCUCCUACUCUCCAAGCAAUAGGGAAGCCAUGGACCCCAUAGCAGAGCUGCUGUCUCAGCUGUCAGGUGUGCGUCGAUCCGCAGGGGGGCAGCUGAACUCUUCUGGCCCCUCAACCUCACAGCUGCAGCAGCUGCAAAUGCAGCUCCAGCUGGAGCGUCAGCAGGCACAGGCGGCGCGUCAGCAGCUGGAGACGGCUCGAAACGCCACGCGUCAGCGCAGCAACCCCGGCAACAUCAGCGCCAGCAUCCCGCCGCCCAGCACCGCCACAAACACAGCCAUGACUGAAAACAACACGCUGGCCUCCCACAGCUCCCAGUUUCUUCUCACACGGUUGAACGAGCCAAAAAUGUCAGAGGCAGAACGUCAGGCGCUGGAGAGCGAGCGCGCAGACCGCAACCUGUUCGUGCAGGAGCUUCUGCUGUCCACGCUAAUGCGAGAGGAGAGCUCCUCAUCCGACGAGGACGAAAGGCGAGACUUUGCUGACUUCGGCGCCAUGGGCUGCGUGGACAUCAUGCCUUUAGACGUGGCUCUGGAGAGCCUCAACUUGAAGGAGAGCUCCACAGGCAAGGAGCCUCCCCCACCUCCUCUUUGAUGAUAUCCCACCACCAUCACGCAGACAUUGUCCUCUGUGCUGUAACUGCCAAUGACGCAGGUGAGCGUAGGUAUCUGUGGCAGACCUCAGCUUCCUGUCUUGCAAAAGGCUCUCCUUAUAAAUACUCCACAUUCAAAAACUGAAGAGGAAACAAGAGACCUUCUCUAAUGAAGCUGCUGUGUGUAUUUAUGAAUAUUAAUGAAUAAAAAGUGCUUGGAUGGUUUACCAUAA